rnacentral:rRNA from 1 species
CCUACGGGUGGCAGCAGUGAGGAAUAUUGGUCAAUGGACGUAAGCCUGAACCAGCCAAGUCGCGUGCGGGAUGAAGGUUCUAUGGGUCGUAAACCUCUUUUAUACGGGGGUAAAGUCCGGGACGUGUCCCGUUUUGUAUGUACCUUAUGAAUAAGGAUCGGCUAACUCCGUGCCAGCAGCCGCGGUAAUACGGAGGAUCCGAGCGUUAUCCGGAUUUAUUGGGUUUAAAGGGUGCGUAGGCGGCUUUAUAAGUUAGAGGUGAAAUGUCGGGGCUCAACCAUAGAAUUGCCGUUAAAACUGGUGGGCUAGAGAAUAGUUGAGGUAGGCGGAAUGUGUGGUGUAGCGGUGAAAUGCUUAGAGAUCACACAGAACCCCGAUUGCGAAGGCAGCCUACCAAGCUAUGACUGACGUUGAGGCACGAAAGCGUGGGGAGCAAACAGGAUUAGAUACCCGAGUAGUC